GUUAAGCGACUAAGCGUACACGGUGGAUGCCCUGGCAGUCAGAGGCGAUGAAGGACGUGCUAAUCUGCGAUAAGCGUCGGUAAGGUGAUAUGAACCGUUAUAACCGGCGAUUUCCGAAUGGGGAAACCCAGUGUGAUUCGUCACACUAUCAUUAACUGAAUCCAUAGGUUAAUGAGGCGAACCGGGGGAACUGAAACAUCUAAGUACCCCGAGGAAAAGAAAUCAACCGAGAUUCCCCCAGUAGCGGCGAGCGAACGGGGAGGAGCCCAGAGCCUGAAUCAGUGUGUGUGUUAGUGGAAGCGUCUGGAAAGGCGCGCGAUACAGGGUGACAGCCCCGUACACAAAAAUGCACAUGCUGUGAGCUCGAUGAGUAGGGCGGGACACGUGGUAUCCUGUCUGAAUAUGGGGGGACCAUCCUCCAAGGCUAAAUACUCCUGACUGACCGAUAGUGAACCAGUACCGUGAGGGAAAGGCGAAAAGAACCCCGGCGAGGGGAGUGAAAAAGAACCUGAAACCGUGUACGUACAAGCAGUGGGAGCACAGAGCAAUCUGUGUGACUGCGUACCUUUUGUAUAAUGGGUCAGCGACUUAUAUUCUGUAGCAAGGUUAACCGAAUAGGGGAGCCGAAGGGAAACCGAGUCUUAACUGGGCGUUAAGUUGCAGGGUAUAGACCCGAAACCCGGUGAUCUAGCCAUGGGCAGGUUGAAGGUUGGGUAACACUAACUGGAGGACCGAACCGACUAAUGUUGAAAAAUUAGCGGAUGACUUGUGGCUGGGGGUGAAAGGCCAAUCAAACCGGGAGAUAGCUGGUUCUCCCCGAAAGCUAUUUAGGUAGCGCCUCGUGAAUUCAUCUCCGGGGGUAGAGCACUGUUUCGGCAAGGGGGUCAUCCCGACUUACCAACCCGAUGCAAACUGCGAAUACCGGAGAAUGUUAUCACGGGAGACACACGGCGGGUGCUAACGUCCGUCGUGAAGAGGGAAACAACCCAGACCGCCAGCUAAGGUCCCAAAGUCAUGGUUAAGUGGGAAACGAUGUGGGAAGGCCCAGACAGCCAGGAUGUUGGCUUAGAAGCAGCCAUCAUUUAAAGAAAGCGUAAUAGCUCACUGGUCGAGUCGGCCUGCGCGGAAGAUGUAACGGGGCUAAACCAUGCACCGAAGCUGCGGCAGCGACGCUUAUGCGUUGUUGGGUAGGGGAGCGUUCUGUAAGCCUGCGAAGGUGUGCUGUGAGGCAUGCUGGAGGUAUCAGAAGUGCGAAUGCUGACAUAAGUAACGAUAAAGCGGGUGAAAAGCCCGCUCGCCGGAAGACCAAGGGUUCCUGUCCAACGUUAAUCGGGGCAGGGUGAGUCGACCCCUAAGGCGAGGCCGAAAGGCGUAGUCGAUGGGAAACAGGUUAAUAUUCCUGUACUUGGUGUUACUGCGAAGGGGGGACGGAGAAGGCUAUGUUGGCCGGGCGACGGUUGUCCCGGUUUAAGCGUGUAGGCUGGUUUUCCAGGCAAAUCCGGAAAAUCAAGGCUGAGGCGUGAUGACGAGGCACUACGGUGCUGAAGCAACAAAUGCCCUGCUUCCAGGAAAAGCCUCUAAGCAUCAGGUAACAUCAAAUCGUACCCCAAACCGACACAGGUGGUCAGGUAGAGAAUACCAAGGCGCUUGAGAGAACUCGGGUGAAGGAACUAGGCAAAAUGGUGCCGUAACUUCGGGAGAAGGCACGCUGAUAUGUAGGUGAAGCGACUUGCUCGUGGAGCUGAAAUCAGUCGAAGAUACCAGCUGGCUGCAACUGUUUAUUAAAAACACAGCACUGUGCAAACACGAAAGUGGACGUAUACGGUGUGACGCCUGCCCGGUGCCGGAAGGUUAAUUGAUGGGGUCAGCGCAAGCGAAGCUCUUGAUCGAAGCCCCGGUAAACGGCGGCCGUAACUAUAACGGUCCUAAGGUAGCGAAAUUCCUUGUCGGGUAAGUUCCGACCUGCACGAAUGGCGUAAUGAUGGCCAGGCUGUCUCCACCCGAGACUCAGUGAAAUUGAACUCGCUGUGAAGAUGCAGUGUACCCGCGGCAAGACGGAAAGACCCCGUGAACCUUUACUAUAGCUUGACACUGAACAUUGAGCCUUGAUGUGUAGGAUAGGUGGGAGGCUUUGAAGUGUGGACGCCAGUCUGCAUGGAGCCGACCUUGAAAUACCACCCUUUAAUGUUUGAUGUUCUAACGUGGACCCGUAAUCCGGGUUGCGGACAGUGUCUGGUGGGUAGUUUGACUGGGGCGGUCUCCUCCUAAAGAGUAACGGAGGAGCACGAAGGUUGGCUAAUCCUGGUCGGACAUCAGGAGGUUAGUGCAAUGGCAUAAGCCAGCUUGACUGCGAGCGUGACGGCGCGAGCAGGUGCGAAAGCAGGUCAUAGUGAUCCGGUGGUUCUGAAUGGAAGGGCCAUCGCUCAACGGAUAAAAGGUACUCCGGGGAUAACAGGCUGAUACCGCCCAAGAGUUCAUAUCGACGGCGGUGUUUGGCACCUCGAUGUCGGCUCAUCACAUCCUGGGGCUGAAGUAGGUCCCAAGGGUAUGGCUGUUCGCCAUUUAAAGUGGUACGCGAGCUGGGUUUAGAACGUCGUGAGACAGUUCGGUCCCUAUCUGCCGUGG
rnacentral:rRNA from 1 species